GAUGAACGCUGGCGGCGUGCCUAAUACAUGCGAGUCGAGCGAACAGACGAGGAGCUUGCUCCUUCGACGUUAGCGGCGGACGGGUGAGUAACACGUAGGUAACCUACCUAUAAGACUGGGAUAACUUCGGGAAACCGGAGCUAAUACCGGAUAAUAUUUCGAACCGCAUGGUUCGAUAGUGAAAGAUGGCUUUGCUAUCACUUAUAGAUGGACCUGCGCCGUAUUAGCUAGUUGGUAAGGUAACGGCUUACCAAGGCAACGAUACGUAGCCGACCUGAGAGGGUGAUCGGCCACACUGGAACUGAGACACGGUCCAGACUCCUACGGGAGGCAGCAGUAGGGAAUCUUCCGCAAUGGGCGAAAGCCUGACGGAGCAACGCCGCGUGAGUGAUGAAGGUCUUCGGACCGUAAAACUCUGUUAUUAGGGAAGAACAAACGUGUAAGUAACUGUGCACGUCUUGACGGUACCUAAUCAGAAAGCCACGGCUAACUACGUG
rnacentral:rRNA from 1 species